GACCCCGUAGUUCAGUGGUAGAAUGUGUGAUUCCAGUGCGUACAUAUGUACCCGGUGGUUCCACAAGGUCAUCCGUUCAAUCCGGGUCGGGGUCA